AUGAACGCUAGCUACAGGCUUAACACAUGCAAGUCGAGGGGCAGCAUGGUCUUAGCUUGCUAAGGCCGAUGGCGACCGGCGCACGGGUGAGUAACACGUAUCCAACCUGCCGUCUACUCUUGGACAGCCUUCUGAAAGGAAGAUUAAUACAAGAUGGCAUCAUGAGUCCGCAUGUUCACAUGAUUAAAGGUAUUCCGGUAGACGAUGGGGAUGCGUUCCAUUAGAUAGUAGGCGGGGUAACGGCCCACCUAGUCUUCGAUGGAUAGGGGUUCUGAGAGGAAGGUCCCCCACAUUGGAACUGAGACACGGUCCAAACUCCUACGGGAGGCAGCAGUGAGGAAUAUUGGUCAAUGGGCGAGAGCCUGAACCAGCCAAGUAGCGUGAAGGAUGACUGCCCUAUGGGUUGUAAACUUCUUUUAUAAAGGAAUAAAGUCGGGUAUGGAUACCCGUUUGCAUGUACUUUAUGAAUAAGGAUCGGCUAACUCCGUGCCAGCAGCCGCGGUAAUACGGAGGAUCCGAGCGUUAUCCGGAUUUAUUGGGUUUAAAGGGAGCGUAGAUGGAUGUUUAAGUCAGUUGUGAAAGUUUGCGGCUCAACCGUAAAAUUGCAGUUGAUACUGGAUAUCUUGAGUGCAGUUGAGGCAGGCGGAAUUCGUGGUGUAGCGGUGAAAUGCUUAGAUAUCACGAAGAACUCCGAUUGCGAAGGCAGCCUGCUAAGCUGCAACUGACAUUGAGGCUCGAAAGUGUGGGUAUCAAACAGGAUUAGAUACCCUGGUAGUCCACACGGUAAACGAUGAAUACUCGCUGUUUGCGAUAUACAGCAAGCGGCCAAGCGAAAGCGUUAAGUAUUCCACCUGGGGAGUACGCCGGCAACGGUGAAACUCAAAGGAAUUGACGGGGGCCCGCACAAGCGGAGGAACAUGUGGUUUAAUUCGAUGAUACGCGAGGAACCUUACCCGGGCUUAAAUUGCAGAUGAAUUACGGUGAAAGCCGUAAGCCGCAAGGCAUCUGUGAAGGUGCUGCAUGGUUGUCGUCAGCUCGUGCCGUGAGGUGUCGGCUUAAGUGCCAUAACGAGCGCAACCCUUGUUGUCAGUUACUAACAGGUCAUGCUGAGGACUCUGACAAGACUGCCAUCGUAAGAUGUGAGGAAGGUGGGGAUGACGUCAAAUCAGCACGGCCCUUACGUCCGGGGCUACACACGUGUUACAAUGGGGGGUACAGAGGGCCGCUACCACGCGAGUGGAUGCCAAUCCCCAAAACCUCUCUCAGUUCGGACUGGAGUCUGCAACCCGACUCCACGAAGCUGGAUUCGCUAGUAAUCGCGCAUCAGCCACGGCGCGGUGAAUACGUUCCCGGGCCUUGUACACACCGCCCGUCAAGCCAUGGGAGCCGGGGGUACCUGAAGUGCGUAACCGCGAGGAGCGCCCUAGGGUAAAACUGGUGACUGGGGCU
rnacentral:rRNA from 1 species